AGUGAUUGCCACUUGCACAACCAACCAGGGUCGGGGACAAACUGCAACAGAGGGUCUAACAUCCAAUAAAUACUGAUUCAAAGGGUGAAUGGUGAAUGUAUGUAAAAGAACUUUCUAAAGUGCAAGUGCUACAAAUGGAAGCCAUUAUGUUUACUGUACUUGAAUUGAUGACACAUACCUUUGAACUAUGAUGAAGUUAUGGACAACAGAGAAAACAGUUUCUCUAUGAAUGUGUAACUCAAAGAAUGAUUUGAAGGCUCCCACUGUGUGCUAGGAAUUGUGUGAAAUACAAAGGUAUUUGCCUAAACUGGAACUUAAGCUGCAGCCAUUUCUUUGUGGAUUUGUCUAAAAACCUAAGUAAGCAUUACAGUCUUCAGAAAAUAAAGAAUGAGAAGCAAGGAAGAAAGAACAUUCAUCUUGGAAGGACCCAAAAAGUACUUUGAAAUUUUAAAGGAAUGUAACGAUAGCUGCUAAAACCACCUUUGUCGCCAUAAUGGAUGAAGCACUUCAGAUUUAACUGAUUGAUGAUACUUAACAAGAGCUUCUACGAUACAUAUGAAAGUAUUGCCAUGUGCUGAAAGGAAAGCAUUGUCGAUGAAGUUCUAUUUUCUAAAAUGUCUGCCUGUAACACUUUUACUGAACACGUUUGGAAACCUGGUGAAUGCAAGAACUGCUUUAAACCAAAAAGCUUGCACCAACCCCCUCCAGACCCGGAAAAGAUACCCAUUAACCAUGGCCAUGUGAAAACUAAUGCCAAUCACAGUAACAACCACCAUAUUGGGAACACCGGAAAUUUCCGGCCUCCUGUGGCUAAAAAACCCACUAUAGCUGUGAAGCCCACUAUGAUGGUAGCAGAUGGACAAAGUGUAUAUGGUGAGUUUAGCAUCCAAGGACACUGUGAGAACAAACCUGCCAUCAUAGAGAGGAACCAAAACAGGACAGCCUUGAAUCAGAAACCACUAAAUAAUAAUAAUAAUAAUAAUGAAGAUGAUAUUGAAGGAGUUAGCCAUGUUUCUAAAACUUUUGGCAAUAAUGAUAGUGCAAAGAAGAUAUCAAAUAACAAUAAUGGACUAACUGAAAUGUUGAAGGAAAUAGCAGGCUUGGAUACUACCCCUCAGAUAAGAGUAAAUGAAACCAAAGCCAGAGAAAUAUUCUUAGGAAGAAUAAAUGACUGCUAUAAACGAUCAUUGGAAAGAAAGCUUCCACCAAGUUGUAUGAUGUGUGGGAUAAAGGAUACUCAAGGAAAGCACAUUAUUCUGAGUGGGAGCACAGAAGUUAUCAGUAAUGAAGGGGGCCGGUUCUGUUACCCAGAGUUUUCUAGUGGUGAGGAAAGUGAGGAAGAUGCACUUUUUAGUAACAUGGAGGAGGAACAUGAGAGCUGGGAUGAGAGUGAUGAAGAGCUGUUGGCCAUGGAAAUUCGUAUGAGAGGGCAACCUCGCUUUGCCAACUUUAGGGCAAACACUUUGUCUCCUGUUCGAUUUUAUGUGGACAAAAAAUGGAAUACUGUUCCUCUGCGAAAUAAGUCUCUACAGAGAAUCUGUGCUGUAGACUAUGAUGACAGUUAUGAUGAAAUCCUGAAUGGUUAUGAAGAGAAUUCUGUGGUCUCCUAUGGACCAGGAAGCAUUCAGAGUAUGGUGUCAUCUGACUCCACAUCACCAGAUUCUUUAACAGAAGAAUCACAUUCUGAGACAGCCAAUAGUUUAUCCCAGAAGAUCCAUAUUGGGGGAAUACCACAUGGUACCCCAGGACAUUCUGAGGACAUGAAGGAAAGUGAGCCCAAUUAUGAACGUCUGACUGGUAACAGUCAGGAGAAGGAUUCAUCACAAGUAUCCAGAAGCUCAGUAAAAGUUCCAGAGACACACAAAGCAGUCCUUGCUCUCCGAUUAGAAGAGAAAGAUGGCAAGAUUGCUGUACAAACUGAGAAGCAAGACAGUAAAGCCUCUACAGAUACUGCUGGACAAGCAGUAAUCAUAAACCUCAUUCCUGUACAAGAACAAGCGAAGCCUUACCGCAUUGUGAAUCUCGAACAGCCGUUGUGCAAGCCAUAUACUGUUGUAGACGUGUCAGCAGCCAUGGCCAGUGAGCACCUCGAGGGCCCUGUUAACAGCCCCAAGACAAAAAGUGCAUCUUCUACGCCAAACUCUCCAGUGACAUCACCUAUAUCAACAUCAGGAAGAAUAAGUGCCCAUUUCCAAAAAUCCAGUGCAGUUCGCUAUCAGGAAGUAUGGACUUCUAGUACCAGUCCACGACAAAAGAUACCUAAGGUGGAAUUAAUUAGUGGUGGAACUGGACCAAAUGUUCCCCCACGGCAAAACUGUCACAAAUCAGCACCUACUUCACCCAUAGCUGCAAAUGUUUCCUCCAAAACCAUCCCUGUUAAGUCACCUAAUUUGUCAGAAAUAAAAUUUAAUAGUUAUAACAAUGCUGGUAUGCCUCCUUUUCCGAUUAUCAUUCAUGAUGAGCCAACUUAUGCUCGGAGUUCCAAAAAUGCUAUCAAAGUUCCCAUUGUUAUCAAUCCAAAUGCAUAUGACAAUCUAGCCAUUUAUAAAAGUUUUCUUGGAACAAGUGGAGAACUUUCAGUGAAGGAAAAAACUACAAGUAUGAUAAGCCAUACUUAUGAAGAAAUAGAAACUGCAAGCAAAGUAUCCGAUGACACCACUAGCACUCCCACUGAUUGUCCCCAAGCUAAAGAAUUUUCAAAUAGCACAGAAUGUAAAAGAGGCUCAGUGGCUCAGAAGGUUCAGGAGUUUAACAGCUGUCUUAAUCGAGGUCAGUCUUCACCACAGAGAAGCUGUAGUUCCAGCAAUAGCUCUCCAACAAAGAUCCAGAGAACCACUCAAGAACCUGUUAUCAGAGCUGAAGGCACUCAGGAGUCUCAGACGGUGGGCAGUGGCAGCAGCAACAGGGAGGAAGCAAGUAUAGUGCUUUCUCAGAUUGUGGCUUCUAUCCAUCCCCCACAGUCUCCUCCAGAAAUGCCCCAGUCAGGCCUUAAAGCUUGCAGUGUGGAAGAGCUUUAUGCAAUUCCUUCAGAUGUUGAUGCUGCUAAAAGUACACCAGUCCGGCCCAAAUCUCUUUUUACAUCUCAGCCCAGUGGUGAGCAUGAAGCACCUCAGACCACAGAAAAUCUCACCACUAAAGUACAGAAAGAUCCACUAGCCAAACCAGUCAUAAUCUCUCCCUCCAAAUUAGUGAUCCAGAGUGAGCCAUCACCUCCUUUUCCCCCACCACGAUCUACUUCCUCCCCUUACCAUGCAAGUAACCUUUUGCAGAAGCAUUUUACCAACUGGACCAAGCCGACCAGCCCUACCAGGUCAACAGAAGCUGAAUCAGUUUUGCACUCUGAAGGCAGCAGGCGGGCAGCUGAUGCGAAACCUAAACGCUGGAUAUCAUUUAAAAGUUUCUUCCGCCGUCGGAAAACAGAUGAGGAAGAUGACAAAGAGAAAGAACGAGAGAAAGGGAAACUGGUGGGCCUGGAUGGCACAGUUAUCCACAUGCUGCCACCUCCUCCAGUUCAGCGCCAUCACUGGUUCACAGAGGCAAAAGGAGAAUCCAGUGAGAAGCCAGCCAUCAUCUUCAUGUACAGAUGUGACCCUGCCGAAAGCCAGCUCAGUGUGGAUCAGAGUAAGGCAAGAGCAAACCAGUCAGCAGUCAUGGAGAAGGGUGGAACACAGGAUGGGUUACUACGAGACUCAGAGGAGAAGAAAAGGAGUCAUUCUUCUCCAUCACAGAUACCUAAAAAAAUUCUCAGUCAUGUGACCCAUGAAGUUACAGAAGAUUUUUCUCUUUGGGACCCAAGAACUAUUGUGAAGCAAGAUGGUGGAGGCUGCACACCAGCAUUGCCGCUACCUGAACUGGAAAGGGAAGAGGAAAAAGAAGACAUUUCAGAUCCUGUGAGCCUGAAUCCCUGUAGUGCAAUAUACAGCAACUUAGGGCAAUCUAGAGCAGCUAUGAUACCGCCCAAGCAACCACGGCAGCCUAAGGGGGCUUUGGAUGAUGCCUGUACCUUUCGUGGGAAAACAGACCAAGAAGCACCUAAUGCUUACCAAACUAAACCACCCCCACUGCCAAAGAAAAUGAUCAUAAGAGCCAACACAGAGCCAAUCUCCAAAGACCUCCAAAAAUCCAUGGAAACUAGUCUUUGUGUCAUGGCUAAUCCCACCUAUGAUAUCGAUCCCAACUGGGAUGCCAGCAGUGCUGGCUCUUCCAUCAGUUGUGAACUCAAAGGACUGGACAUUGAGUCUUGUGACUCCUUGGAGAGAUCUUUGCACAAGGAACAACCUGUCCCUUCAGCAGCAAACAGCAUCUCCAGCUUAACCACUCUCAGUAUUAAGGAUAGAUUUUCCAACAGCAUGGAGUCCCUAUCCAGUCAACAUGGUCCCUCUUGGAGACAGGGCCAAGGCAUCCAGAAGCCACAGAGACACGCACUUUAUCGAGGACUUGAGAAUCGGGAAGAAGUGGUGGGGAAGAUCCGAAGCCUUCAUACAGAUGCCUUAAAGAAAUUGGCUGUUAAAUGUGAAGACCUCUUCAUGUCUGGGCAGAAAGACAAGCUUCGUUUUGGGGUAGACAGCUGGUCAGACUUCAGGCUAACCAGUGACAAGCCAUGUUGUGAGGCAGGUGAUGCAGUUUAUUACACAGCUUCAUAUGCAAAAGAUCCACUUAAUAGUUAUGCAGUCAAGAUCUGUAAGAGCAAAGCUAAAGAAUCUCAGCAGUAUUAUCACAGCUUGGCUGUUCGGCAGAGUCUGGCUAUCCAUUUUAACAUCCAGCAGGACUGUGGUCAUUUCCUUGCUGAAGUCCCUAAGCGUCUGCUUCCUUGGGAGGAUCCUGAUGCCCCUGAAGAGGAAGAGGAUGAAGUGCAAGAGAAUGAACAAGAAAUGAAAGAAGAAAUUAAUGGGAAAAGCCCAGAGCACUGCUCUGAAACAGAAUCAUCCCAGAAAGAAAGCCAUGGAGUCAUUAGCAAGAAGCAGAGAAGUCAUGUUGUGGUCAUCACCAGAGAGGUUCCCUAUCUCACGGUGGCUGAUUUUGUGCAAGACUCUCUGGUUCAGCAUGGGAAACGCCCUGAUUUGUAUGAGAGGCAAGUGUGUUUGCUGCUCCUACAACUGUGCUCUGGCCUUCAGCACCUUAAACCCUACCACGUCACCCACUGCGAUCUACGUCUGGAGAACCUGCUGCUUGUCCACUACCAGCUCGGGGGAUCCACUCAGGGCCUUGGGCCUGCAGAACCCAAUCCCACCUCACCUUGUCUCAUGAGGCUUAUAGUGAGCAACUUCUCUCAGGCCAAGCAGAAGAGCCACCUGGUGGACCCCGAGAUCCUCCGGGACCAGUCCCGCCUUGCCCCAGAGAUCAUAACAGCCACCCAGUACAGAAAAUGUGAUGAGUUCCAGACAGGCAUCCUCAUCUAUGAAAUGCUACACCUGCCCAACCCCUUUGAUGAGAACCCAGAGCUGAAGGAGAAGGAGUACACUCGAGGAGAUCUGCCUCAAAUCCCACUUCGCUCCCCCUAUUCCUGGGGCCUUCAGCAGCUGGCUAGCUGCCUCCUGAACCCCAACCCUUCUGAGCGGAUUCUCAUUUCAGAUGCCAAAGGUGUCCUCCAGUGUCUGCUCUGGGGCCCCCGAGAAGAUCUCUUCCAUACUUUCACCACUACCCCUAGCCCAGUGCAGAAGAAUGCCCUGCUCCAAAACUGGCUAGACAUCAAGCGAACAUUGCUGAUGAUCAAGUUUGCUGAAAAGUCCCUAGACAGGGAGGGUGGGGUCAGCCUUGAGGAUUGGCUUUGUGCUCAAUAUUUGGCUUUUACAACUCCAGAUUCCCUCAGUUGUAUUGUGAAAAUCCUGCAACACCGUUAAUGUAUCCUGGUUGCUACUUUUAGUUCAUCUUCACCUUCUUCAAGUCACCCAUGCACUUCCCCAUUGUAGUACUCACACAGAAUUCAAGGAAAGAAGAGAGACAAACUGUUCAUCCUUGUCCACAAACAAAUGAGUCUACUCAGAAAGGUUAUCCACAACUCCAAAUCAAGUGAAAAGCUUAGUCUUAACUUCACAGAAAUUCAGUUGCACAAACAUUCAGUUACUUUCCACUGGAACACCUUUCACCCUACUUGUCCUGCAAAUGAAGGGAAAAAAUGAAGAUGAACAUUUUUGAAGGGACAGCUCCUUUGGUAUGAACUCAGUUAUGUCCACUUGCUCUAUAAUUCUGAAUUUCACCUGUCUUUUUAACAUCGAGUAUUUAUUUUUACUAGCAAUAGAUAAAUUUAACCAAUUCUUACUGUCAUUUACUAAGCUCUCAAGAAUAGCAGACUUUCUUCCUCUGUUACCAGGUAGAACUGCCAUCCUUUGUAUCCACCCAGUUUUGGUUCCAGGGGUAAUAGAAAGACAGCAAGAAAUCCCAUUCCUUGGGUCAUGGACCUUUUUUCAUUUCUAUUAUUAGUAAUUGGGUUCACUGCAUGGAGGAUGGCCCUAACAAUCUCCCCUCUGCUGCUACUGCCUGAUUCUCCUUCACCUCUACUUUGUCCCCACUUGCCAAUGAAGUUUGGGUUUAUUGACCACUUGUGGCCUGUUACAGAGCCUGACCCAUGGUGGUGUCACCCAUGCCUCAGCAGGGUGGAGUGCAGUUUAUAUCUUAUAAACAGCUGACAAUACAGAAGGAGAUGAUUUUUCUGUAUGUGCCAUUCUCUAGGGACCAUCAGGGAACAGUUUAAAGUACUGUUAUAUGAUUACUGUCAGAGUUGGCUGCCAGGGCUGGUAGUGCCUAGAACAUAGCUUUUUCCUUCAAUCCAUCAUUGGCCAGCUUACUUCUAUCAGUAGCCAGUAUUAACUAGCCUACCAAAUGCUGUAGACAGCUGCCCUGAAAGAAACAGCUGUCAGUCCACCUCUAAGAUCUCCUUAGAGGGCAUGUUGAAGAUAGUUAUUAUAAUGGCCAGAGGCAAGACAAGGGGAAAUGCCCAUGGAUAAGACUGCUGACCUCCAUCUCAGAAUAUUGACCUUUUCUGGAGAGACUGCCUCCCAGAUGCCCUGGCACAUUGCUCCUUAUGACUCUGAAAUGGCUCUGGAAGACAGCUCACAGGGAAUUUUUAUUGCUGAGGUGGGUAGCUGAAAGCUGUUCAUUGUAUGUGGGGUCUGUGCUCCUUGCCUAUGGAUAUAUGUGCAAUUUUUGUAUGUAUUUUUUAGCUGUGGAUUGCAGUGUUUAUUUGCAACUUCACCUGAAACAAAAUCUAUAGAAAUCCUCCCCUUCUUCCCUUAGCACAUAUUUGCGCUAAGAGACAAAUGUUCCUUCCAUGGGGGUAUGUGAGAGUGUGUGUGCUUGUUUUAUUCAAAACUGUGAGUAUCUGCUUAUUUCAGUCUUGCAGUCCCAGAAGUCUCUUAGACAGUGUAAGUGUCCAUACACGUGUGUGCCUGUGUGUGCACAUGCAUGCUAGAAGUAGAGAGAGGCCAGGCCUCUGGAGAGCAACCUGUGUGUACCCUCAUCUACUAGUGAAGGGUUUCUUAAAACAAGGACUGGCUGUGCAGUAUUAUUUAGGUAGCACAUUAGUGGCCUUUUGAAAUUUCUUAGUUUGUAAUAUUUUUAACAGCCUUUCAUGUGAUUCAUCUAUAUCAAAGAGGAUCAAGAACAGAAAAGAAUAUAUUUUAUUGUGCUUUUUUUUAGAAUGGGACAUGUGAAGCUCCAUUUGGAGGCUACUCCUGUCCUCCUGGCCAGCAGUACAGGACUCCCAAAGGAGAGAGCUGGGUGGCGUGCAAAGAGUAUUGCCUCCUCUAGCCAGAGUGCAGGGCUCUGCCCCUAGGAGUGGCCACAGAGUGGGCGUGCCGCUGCAGGCCAGCAGUACACGCUCUCAGUAUCCUGUGACAUGGCUGUGCCUUGCCUAACAGACUGGGGUUUGGUUCACCUUAACACAGCCCAUGUGCACAUAACUCCUUGCUAACUAUACACUGAAGUACCAGUACACAAACCACUGACCAUGUCAACCAGCACAUUCCCUUACUAGCCUCCCUACCCUCCACCCCCAUUCCCUGAUGCUUUGCAUAUUGAGACACUUUUUCACUGUCACUCUUGUGCCUUGCCCAUGUACAUUUGAAUGUUGGCUAUUUAAUAAGGUUUCAUAUUUAACUGAGAAAGUUUCCUGGUUCCUCUGUUCUGUAGGUAUUCUUUUUUUUUUUCUGUUUUGACUUGGAUCCAGUCUUCCACAUUAACUCUAUAAUACUAGAAGCAUGUACGCCUUCUACCACCAUUAUAUUAUAGCACUGGUAAACCAAGCACCCCUUUAUAUCAGAUAAGUUUAGUACUGUUUUUAUAUUCAAAUUUGGUAAGGGCAAAAGAUAAAUGCCAACUAUUGUAGAAGGGCCUCAGAGACAGGGGGCUGCAUUAAUUUUUCUCUGAGUGAUGGCUAAAGAAUGUGAGGGAGAAGGGAAGGUGGUAUUACAGGUUAGAGCCAAAUAGACUAAGUAACUUAUGUCUGGGCAAGAAGUAAUCAACAUUUGGUCCUCAGAAUCUUUCCAAAAUAAUGAAAUUUUGAAAUUUAGUUGAUCUAAUAUUAUUGCAAAAAUAUCUAUUUUUGCAUUUCUAUUUUAAUUGUAAUAGGAACUUUGAAUUCAUCAACUGAAAAGAAACCCUAUCCUCAGACACAGACAGACAGGCAUGCAUGUAUAUAUAUGAGUUUUAGGCUGUGACUAGGAUAGCACUUUAAGUUUUCUCAAGUAACUUCAAGUACUGUCUUUAAUAUUGAUUGGAAAUUUUAUUCUUUUUUAUUAAAGUCUAUACUAUAGUUUCUUCCAUUUAUUUUGAGAGCUCAAACAAGCCACUACUGAAACUUUUCCUUAAACAACAUGAGCAAGAACAAUCUCUCUGACACAUCUGGAUGCUGGAGAAACAGGACAAUGGCUGGAAUAGCCAAGACCAAGACUGAAUAUUUUAUGAGCAAUGAUCUGAAGAAAUACAGACUUGUGCCAGAAGGUGAGAUGGACUUAUGUUACUACACUACAUUUCAAAUGAUUCUAUAUGUAUAAAUAAAGUUUGACUAUACUUGGAGAGGGGAGAGAGGAACUUGACUCCAUAAGCCAACUCUGACGUAUUUUUAUUUUCCCUAGUUGAUAAGGAUUGAAAUUUCUAAUCUAGCCCAAUGAGUGAACAGGAUGGCUGCCCACGAAACCGGGUUAUUAGAUUUACCUCAUUGAAGCUCAUAUUCUCAAAGACCCAAAGUGCUGUGAUGAGACAAAUUCAAGUGCUGCUUUUGCUGAAGUGUGCACUGAAGUCCAGCUGUCCAUACUUAAUGGCAAUGUGAAAAGCGGAGAUUCCAUAAAUGAUGCCAUAAGGGAAGCAGAAGAGCUGCAGUGCAAGAGCAUAGAUACAAAUUGUACCAAAGAAAGCAAGCCUUUUGUCUUGAUGCGUCUAAAGUGAUGUUGUGACAGAUGCCAUGGGAGGAGAAUUUACAUAUAUUCCAUGUCAAGGUAUUUGGUCAAUAAAAUAAUUCAG